rnacentral:rRNA from 1 species
UGGGGAUGACGUCAAGUCCUCAUGGCCUUUAUGCCCAGGGCUACACACGUGCUACAAUGGGCGGUACAAAGAGAAGCAACCUCGCGAGGGUGAGCAAAUCUCAAAAAGCCGUUCUCAGUUCGGAUUGAAGUCUGCAACUCGACUUCAUGAAGUCGGAAUCGCUAGUAAUCGCGGAUCAGCAUGCCGCGGUGAAUACGUUCCCGGGCCUU